AGUCGCAUCCCUCUCUUGUGUGAAUUGCUUUUGAUUAGGUCCUUUGAAGACUUCUUCAACUCGGAUCGAUCAGACCUAUACCACAAACUGAAGUUAAGUGAGCAAAGCUUUCUCCUAUUUCAUCUUUGUGCACUGUUAUACUUCGAUUUAAUUCAUCCAUGAACUUCUCUACAGGUUGAGCCCCAAAGAGGCUGAUACCACUGCAUAAGGAGGCCACAUAUGGAUUCUAUCUCCGCAUAAACAGUAUAUUGUAAUUACAUCCACUUAUGCAAGUAUGCAGGUACUGUCAUCACCUUUUGAUAUUUCUUUGUCAUUCAUGUCGGG
rnacentral:lncRNA from 1 species